rnacentral:rRNA from 1 species
UACCGGGGGAGCAAGCGUUGUUCGGAUUUACUGGGCGUAAAGGGCGCGUAGGCGGCCACCGCAAGUCAGUUGUGAAAUCUCUGGGCUUAACCCAGAACGGUCAGCUGAUACUGCGGGGCUAGAGUGCAGAAGGGGCAACUGGAAUUCUCGGUGUAGCGGUGAAAUGCGUAGAUAUCGAGAGGAACACCUGCGGCGAAGGCGGGUUGCUGGGCUGACACUGACGCUGACAGCGCGAAAGCUAGGGGAGCGAACGGG